rnacentral:rRNA from 1 species
CUAAACUGAGGAAAGUCGGCCGAAACUGAUCGACUCGAGGAACGUAGAGGGAAGCGGAACUCUCGGAGUAGCGGUGAAAUGCGUAGAGACCGAGAGGUACCCCGAUGGUGAAGACAGCUUCCUGGGCGUUUCCUGACGCUGAAGCGCUAAGGCCAGGGGAGCGAAGGGGAUUAGAUACCCCCGUAGUCCUGGCUUCAAACGAUGUGGGCUUGGUGUCGGCUCCCGACAGAGAGUCGUUGCCGGAGCUAACGUGUUAAGCCCACCGCCUGGGGAUUACGUCCGCAAGGAUGAAACUCAAGGGAAUUGACGGGGGCCCACACAACCGGUGGAGCACGUGGUUUAAUUCGAUGAUAAGCGAAGAACCUUACCAGGGCUUGACCUAGCGGUAGUAGGACCCUGAAAGGGGAACGACCUCAAGCUUUGCUUGAGGAGCC